rnacentral:rRNA from 1 species
UACGUAGGGUGCAAGCGUUGCCCGGAAUUAUUGGGCGUAAAGAGCUCGUAGGCGGUUUGUCGCGUCUGCUGUGAAAACUCGGGGCUUAACCCCGGGCCUGCAGUGGGUACGGGCAGACUAGAGUGCGGUAGGGGAGACUGGAAUUCCUGGUGUAGCGGUGAAAUGCGCAGAUAUCAGGAGGAACACCGGUGGCGAAGGCGGGUCUCUGGACAGUUCCUGACGCUGAGGCACGAAGGCCAGGGGAGCAAACGGG